rnacentral:rRNA from 1 species
GAGGAAUAUUGGUCAAUGGGCGCAAGCCUGAACCAGCCAAGUAGCGUGCAGGAAGACGGCCCUAUGGGUUGUAAACUGCUUUUAUACGAGAAUAAUUUGAUGCACGUGUGCGUUAUUGCAUGUAUCGUAUGAAUAAGGACCGGCUAAUUCCGUGCCAGCAGCCGCGGUAAUACGGAAGGUCCAGGCGUUAUCCGGAUUUAUUGGGUUUAAAGGGGGUGUAGGCGGUUUGUUAAGCGUGUUGUGAAAUUUAGAUGCUCAACAUUUAACUUGCAGCGCGAACUGGCGAACUUGAGUGCACACAACGUAUGCGGAAUUCAUGGUGUAGCGGUGAAAUGCUUAGAUAUCAUGAAGAACUCCGAUUGCGAAGGCAGCAUACGGGAGUGUAACUGACGCUUAAGCUCGAAGGUGCGGGUAUCAAACAGGAUUAGAUACCCUGGUAGUCCGCACGGUAAACGAUGAAUACUCGCAGUUCGGUUAUUAUGGUCGAGCUGUCCAGCGAAAGCGUUAAGUAUUCCACCUGGGGAGUACGCCGGCAACGGUG